CGGCGGCCAUAGCGAGAGGGAAACGCCCGGUCACAUUCCGAACCCGGAAGCUAAGACUCUCAGCGCCGAUGGUACUGCAGGGGGGACCCUGUGGGAGAGUAGGACACCGC
rnacentral:rRNA from 1 species